CCCUUAGAUGUUCUGGGCGGCCCGCGCACUACAUUGGCACUCUCAAUAAGUUCCUAGAUCUAAAACUUUGGGGUAUUCUAUUAAGUGGUGUCGUGACUGGGAUUAACCCUUGCAAUUAUUGGUUACGAACGAGGAAUUCCUUGUAAUCGCGGUUUAUCAGCCCGCGUUGAAUGCGUCCCUGCCCUUUGUACACACCGCCCGUCGCUCCUACCGAUGAAUCGUCCGGUGAAGUUCAUGGAGUGGUGGUUGUUCCAGCUGCUGUCGAAGUGAAAUGGACCUCACGAUUUAGAGGAAGUAGAAGUCGUAACA
rnacentral:rRNA from 1 species